GCAGAUGAAGUGUUGUGGUGACACGUCGGUUUGCCAGACCGGCAUCGCGGGUUCGAUUCCCGCCAUCUGCUCCA
rnacentral:tRNA from 1 species